rnacentral:rRNA from 1 species
CCCGGCACAAGCGGUGGAGCAUGUGGUUCAAUUCGACGCAACGCGCAGAACCUUACCAGCCCUUGACAUGGGACUCGCCGGGAGCAGAGACGCUCCCUUCGGUUCGGCCGGAGUCCGCACAGGUGCUGCAUGGCUGUCGUCAGCUCGUGUCGUGAGAUGUUCGGUUAAGUCCGCUAACGAGCGCAACCCUCGCUGUAUGUUACAUGUGUCAUACAGGACCGCCGGUAUCAAGCCGGAGGAAGGUGGGGAUGACGUCAAGUCCGCAUGGCCUUUAUGUCCGGGGCUACACACACGCUACAAUGGUCGGUACAAUGGGUUGCUAAGCCGCGAGGUGGAGCCAAUCCCCCAAAGCCGGCCUCAGUUCAGAUUGCAGGCUGCAACUCGCCUGCAUGAAGCUGGAGUUGCUAGUAAACGCGCGUCAGCUAUAGUGCGUUGAAUACGUUCCCGGGCCUU